UACGUAGGUGGCAAGCGUUGUCCGGAUUUAUUGGGCGUAAAGCGAGCGCAGGUGGUUUAUUAAGUCUGGUGUAAAAGGCAGUGGCUCAACCAUUGUAUGCAUUGGAAACUGGUAGACUUGAGUGCAGGAGAGGAGAAUGGAAUUCUAUGUGUAGCGGUGAAAUGCGUAGAUAUAUGGAGGAACACCGGUGGCGAAAGCGGCUCUCUGGCCUGUAACUGACACUGAGGCUCGAAAGCGUGGGGAGCAAACAGG
rnacentral:rRNA from 1 species